AGUGAACGCUGGCGGUAGGCCUAACACAUGCAAGUCGAACGGCAGCACAGUAAGAGCUUGCUCUUACGGGUGGCGAGUGGCGGACGGGUGAGGAAUACAUCGGAAUCUACUUUUUCGUGGGGGAUAACGUAGGGAAACUUACGCUAAUACCGCAUACGACCUACGGGUGAAAGCAGGGGAUCUUCGGACCUUGCGCGAUUGAAUGAGCCGAUGUCGGAUUAGCUAGUUGGCGGGGUAAAGGCCCACCAAGGCGACGAUCCGUAGCUGGUCUGAGAGGAUGAUCAGCCACACUGGAACUGAGACACGGUCCAGACUCCUACGGGAGGCAGCAGUGGGGAAUAUUGGACAAUGGGCGCAAGCCUGAUCCAGCCAUACCGCGUGGGUGAAGAAGGCCUUCGGGUUGUAAAGCCCUUUUGUUGGGAAAGAAAAGCAGCAGGUUAAGACCCCGCUGUUCGGACGGUACCCAAAGAAUAAGCACCGGCUAACUGCGG
rnacentral:rRNA from 1 species